AUUGAACGCUGGCGGCAGGCCUAACACAUGCAAGUCGAGCGAGCGGCGGACGGGUGAGUAAUGUCUGGGAAACUGCCUGAUGGAGGGGGCUAACUACUGGAAACGGUAGCUAAUAACGCAUACCAUCCGCUGUGCCCAGAUGGGAUUAGCUAGUGGGUGGGGUAACGGCUCACCUAGGCGACGAUCCCUAGCUGGUCUGAGAGGAUGACCAGCCACACUGGAACGGAGACACGGUCCAGACUCCUACGGGAGGCAGCAGUGGGGAAUAUUGCACAAUGGGCGCAAGCCUGAUGGAGCCAUGCCGCGUGUGUGAAGAAGGCCUUCGGGUUGUAAAGCACUUUCAGCGGGGAGGCGUUACCCGCAGAAGAAGCACCGGCUAACUCCGUGCCAGCCGCCGCGGUAAUAC
rnacentral:rRNA from 1 species